GUCUCUCUAUGCUUGCAAUUGUUUGAUUUUUGCCAAUUAUUAAUUUUAGCUUGUCUCAUUUCAAAAUCAUGAUUUUAGGACUCUUAAUAAGAGUUGUCUGCUUAUUGAAAGGGUGAACGCAUGAAGAGUUCGGAAAUUCAUUGUCCUUUUCCCUUUCGAUGGAAUGAAGGAAAGGUGUCGAAAUUUUAGAAAAAGGUGGCAUUACAUUUUUGGAUUAUUUUUUCUGAAUUUUUUUCAUUAGAAAUAUCAAGGAACAAGAUCCCCUUCUGUUUUUCUUUUUUCUUUUUUUUUUUUUCUUAAGAGAGAGAGACCAAUUUAUACUUUAGUAACUAAAGUUCAAAAUUUAGCCGAAACCUCUAAUCAUUGACCAGUGGGACAAAGCCCUACGUCAUCUUUCAUAUAUAAUUUUAUUUGUAUAUUUUAGGAGGAGACCUAGCCAACAUUUAGGUGAUGGAAGGAUUCAAAUAAAGUGAAUCUCACAAAAAUAUUGACAUAUAUGGAUUUCCUUUUAAUGCAUCAAAUAAAAUUGAUUAAUAAGCUCUCUAAAAAUUUGCGAGACAAGUUUUUCAAAAAAAUAAAAACACUUAAUUCUUUCUCCAUGACUGAAUAUAUUAAAGGUCAAGAACUUACAAAAACAAACUAAUUUAUUUGGGACCUAUCUAACAUCACUUUUAUUUCUUAUCUUUUAUUUUUAAAAAUAAAAUU
rnacentral:lncRNA from 1 species